CGGCGGGCCACACCUCCCCAACGAGGUGCGGCGUUCUGUAAGGG
rnacentral:ncRNA from 1 species